GGGUGAGGGGUUGGGGCGGGGGGACUCCCAAUGUGCGGAUAGUUAGGCGCACUUAGGGCCACGAGUUGCUAGGAAACGGCCCCACGCUAUGGAGCGCCUCGCCUCGGCAGCCGCAGCAACAGCAAAAGCUCGGAGUAGCGUGGGCGGGACAUUGAUGAGGCAUGAAGUCACUGCGGCCCACACUCGUUCUUUGUUUUGCUCACUCCAGCUCCUUUUCUCCCCGUUGGCUCCGAUGGUUGCCAUUCCCGUAGUUCACAAGAUCUCCUGAUGCGUACCCGCGCAACAGGAAUGGCACUCUCUGUUCCCUUUCCCUCUCCUGCCCGAAUUCCUGAACCCCAGCGCUCGCCUAGCGGGUGUAGAGACUCGCUCAGCACGAGUGGUAGCUGCGCGCAAACCCCAGCCUCUCACCGGGCUCCACGCAGUCCUUUGUUUGGAGAUACUCACUGCUCGGCAGCUGCCGUACGCAAAGUGGAGUCCCAGAGCCUCUCCCCACCUCCAACACCCGCUGUCCCUCGGGUGCGCACUGCCCACUUUGCUUGCAGAGUUAGGAGCUCACCCUUUGCCCCACCCCAAGACUCCCCAGCACUUGGAGAGUUGGGCCAGUCCACAGGGGCUGUACUCGGAACUGCAGGCCGAUAUUUCUCUCGGCUCCUCCACUCGGAGGGAACAUCGACCUUGGGCUGGACAGCCCUGCUCUUUGCAGGGUUAUCGGAGUGGGUUUUUUGACCUUAGUCGUCACCUUCCCAAUAAACGGAACAAAGAAGUUACAGAGGGCGGCGAAACGGAAGAGAGAAGCUAGGAAAGGAGGCACCCUGUUUCACUCCCUCCAGCCAGGCAUUCUGGGGAAUGAAACUUCUCAACUAAGGACUGACCUGAUGGAAAGCGAUGGAUAAAGACCCUGCCUAGCUCUUGCUCCUUGUAUGGAACCCCUUUGGGCCUUGUGUCCUUCGCUAGGGCUUCUCAAACUAUUGUUAGACCAGUUUUUUAUUUCAAUCCAUCAUGGAUUGGUACUUUAAAACUGAGUUAUUAAGAAAAAUAGUGUCAUAAAAGUGCUGAAUUUUUAUAAAAGUUUCUCAAUACUUACUUUAACUUUUUACACCUUCUUUAUACUGAACCAGUCUCAAACAGUUCAAGGACAGGUGCUAACGCACACCACACUCUGAGCAAUACUGAGCACUUCUGCCUCAGGUUCCCUAAAGGAGUAAGUACAGUUGCCCACAGUGGUAACUGUAUUCAAACACAUCCUCCCCUGGCCGCCUUCCCCUCCCUCAUUUCCCAACUGCUUCCUGGUAUUUCCUUGUCCCAGUGUCCUCUUCUGGAGGAACCUAAACUAAAACAAGUAAUGAUGAGCCCCGAAAGUACUCUCUUGGUGUCCUCCAUGUGUGAAUUCAAAUUUUAUUCUUGUCUAGAUAUAAGGCAACCCUCAGAAUAAAAAAGCACUAA